UACAGAGGGUGCAAGCGUUAAUCGGAAUUACUGGGCGUAAAGCGUGCGUAGACGGUUAUGUAAGUCGGAUGUGAAAGCCCCGGGCUCAACCUGGGAAUGGCAUUCGGGACUGCAAGGCUGGAGUGCGGCAGAGGAGACUGGAAUUCCUGGUGUAGCAGUGAAAUGCGUAGAUAUGCGGAGGAACACCGAUGGCGAAGGCAAUCCCCUGGGCCUGCACUGACGCUCAUGCACGAAAGCGUGGGGAGCAAACAGG
rnacentral:rRNA from 1 species